AGUGAACGCUGGCGGUAGGCCUAACACAUGCAAGUCGAACGGCAGCACAGUAAGAGCUUGCUCUUACGGGUGGCGAGUGGCGGACGGGUGAGGAAUACAUCGGAAUCUACUUUUUCGUGGGGGAUAAAGUAGGGAAACUUACGCUAAUACCGCAUACGACCUACGGGUGAAAGCAGGGGAUCUUCGGACCUUGCGCGAGUGAAUGAGCCGAUGUCGGAUUAGCUAGUUGGCGAGGUAAAGGCCCACCAAGGCGACGAUCCGUAGCUGGUCUGAGAGGAUGAUCAGCCACACUGGAACUGAGACACGCUCCAGACUCCUACGGGAGGCAACAGUGGGGAAUAUUGGACACUGGGCGCAAGCCUGAUCCAGCCAUACCGCGUGGGUGAAGAAGGCCUUCGGGUUGUAAAGCCCUUUUGUUGGGAAAGAAAAGCAGCGGGUUAAUACCCCGCUGUUCUGACGGUACCCAAAGAAUAAGCACCGGCUAACUUCGUG
rnacentral:rRNA from 1 species